GGAGCCGUAAUGCCGGACAAACACAAUUGCCAGGGAGAAGACCUUCAACAUUUUAAUGACUUCAAAAUUGUCAGCGUGUUUACACCAAAACACAAUUUGAGACACUGGGAAAUACUGAUGACCAUUUCUCAGGGGACUUCAUUGGCAAAAAUCUCAUACAGUUCACAUGCUUGGAAAUAACUGAGAGAGAGCUGCAGGACGUUGCUCACCUGUGGAAUUGCCACAGAAUUCGCCCCAGUAGGAAUGCAGUUUCUCCAAGUGGAUGAUCACUACUGAUGUACCGCCUUCCCCACCUGUUUGGCGGUUUGGACCUGCCAAGAGGUCCACAUCCAUGUGAUGAGACUGUUCUUGACAUUUGUUGCCUUGCAAUGUCAGAAAACUAUCUGCACCCACCUACUUCUUCCAAGGAGGCAAUUGAACUCUACCUUUUCUUACAAGCCUCCAGACUCCUGACGCCCCUACCAAGAAUCACUGGCCUAGUAGGCCUAGAACCACAGUAUACUAACAUCAGCAACA